rnacentral:lncRNA from 1 species
GUUUGCUCAUCCAAGAGACAUCCCAUGUGUUUAAGAUGCUGUUGGGAGAUAAAUGCUGUUUGGAGCUCCCUCCCAGAGCAAGUUGAGCCAGUUAUACAUUUUUCUGCUGUUCUAGCACCGCCCCUUUCUGCCAGUUCCGUCGCCUGGACCGGCAUCCUUAGGUCUAGAGUUACACCCUUUUCCUAAGUAUUACCUGGUCAGGUGAAGCCACAUCGCCUGAACUGAACAUUGCUGUGUGACUCUUCCCGUAAGUAUUAUACCUUAUCUAUUGUCUCCGUAGAAACAGACAGCACUGCAGUGUUCGAUAACUGCUUCUUACACAGCUUAUAAAGUCUGACAGACUGCAUUAUCCAGUCUACUGGAUGGUUGUAGUUACUGUAGAGGGCAAGUCGACUCAGUUUUUCUGUGGUCGCUAACUUCUGUCAGCUUUCAUAUUUACCUUGUGGAGCUGCGUAUGAGUUUGUGUGUGGGUUGACGGCAGACUAUUUCACAUCUAUACUCUCUGCAUGUUCCAAGUUACCGUCUGUUACUGGUGACUUGAAACUCUUGCUGAGUGUAACUUUGCUGACACAGACAGACUGAACCAUUAGAACCAGUCCAUGGCUGCUCCUCUAGUCUCCUCACCUCUCCUUUCCUCCCAUCACUGAACCUUUUCAAACAGUGUAGUCCGAUCAGAGGACUGGCUCAGAAAGAACAUCAGCUCUGUGGAGAUUUCACAGAUCAUACAUAGACGGGUCCUUGACAGACAUGGUGUACCAUUGGUGAGGAUUAAGCACAUAGUCUGUGUUUUAAUCUUAAUCGUGUUUAAUAGAUUUUUGUAUCUGGGAAGCUUCUUUGCUCAUAUGUAAGUUGUUUGUUUUCCUGUGGUAUUAGAAAUCACGGCGCAUACAGUCAAAGGCUAAAGCUCUUAGAAGUGGACCACCUGGCAUGAUAUUGAUGAUUUACGUACGGUGUAAAUAUUGCAUGACUAAAACACGCUUUGCGGGAUAAACUGAACCACGUCCUUCAUGGACCUUAUGUAGGUCUAAUCAUAUCGCUUACAAGUGUCAAGUGUCACUGUUACAGUUGUGUAUAGGACUUUGCAUUUGUGUUCAUACACUCAAAGCGUGUGUGUUUAGAGUAGACACACCAAACCAAACUGUGUGGAGAAGGUAAUUGUUGACAUGGUGAUGUGUCUUGCUCUCAGUGUGACUUUGUGAUGUUAUGUCUUUUCCCAUUCCCCAUCCCUCCUCUCUACGGUUAACCAACAGUCUCCUUGUGUGUUCCCUGACCUCGGCAAGUUGUCGUUAUCGGAUGUAUCAAUGAUUAAUUUGGCUGCAUUAAUUAAUCAACUUUACGAGUACCUCAGAUCGUCACGCAGAGAAAAC